CACUCCUACGGGAGGCAGCAGUGGGGAAUUUUGGACAAUGGGCGAAAGCCUGAUCCAGCAAUGCCGCGUGAGUGAAGAAGGCCUUCGGGUUGUAAAGCUCUUUUGUCAGGGAAGAAACGGUGAGAGCUAAUAUCUCUUGCUAAUGACGGUACCUGAAGAAUAAGCACCGGCUAACUACGUGCCAGCAGCCGCGGUAAUACGUAGGGUGCAAGCGUUAAUCGGAAUUACUGGGCGUAAAGCGUGCGCAGGCGGUUUUGUAAGUCUGAUGUGAAAUCCCCGGGCUCAACCUGGGAAUUGCAUUGGAGACUGCAAGGCUAGAAUCUGGCAGAGGGGGGUAGAAUUCCACGUGUAGCAGUGAAAUGCGUAGAUAUGUGGAGGAACACCGAUGGCGAAGGCAGCCCCCUGGGUCAAGAUUGACGCUCAUGCACGAAAGCGUGGGGAGCAAACAGGAUUAGAUACCCCGGUAGUCCCAUG
rnacentral:rRNA from 1 species